rnacentral:rRNA from 1 species
UACGGGGGGGGCAAGCGUUGUUCGGAAUUACGGGGCGUAAAGGGCUCGUAGGGGGCCAACUAAGUCAGACGUGAAAUCCCUCAGCUUAACUGGGGAACUGCGUCUGAUACUGGAUGGCUUGAGUUUGGGAGAGGGAUGCGGAAUUCCAGGUGUAGCGGUGAAAUGCGUAGAUAUCUGGAGGAACACCGGUGGCGAAGGCGGCAUCCUGGACCAACACUGACACUGAUGAGCGAAAGCCAGGGGAGCAAACGGG